UCCGGCUUGUCGCCGGCGGUCCCUCUAGAGUGCCCAACUGAAUGAUGGCAACUAAAGGCGAGGGUUGCGCUCGUUGCGGGACUUAACCCAACAUCUCACGACACGAGCUGACGACAGCCAUGCAGCACCUGUGUUGCGGUUCCCUUUCGGGCACCGAGGUAUCUCUACCCCGUUCCGCACAUGUCAAGGGUAGGUAAGGUUCUUCGCGUUGCAUCGAAUUAAGCAACAUGCUCCGCCGCUUGUGCGGGCCCCCGUCAAUUCCUUUGAGUUUCAGCCUUGCGGCCGUACUCCCCAGGCGGGGCACUUAUCGCGUUAGCUGCGGCACCGAGGGGGUCGCUCCCCCCGGCACCUAGUGCCCAUCGUUUACGGCGUGGACUAC
rnacentral:misc_RNA from 1 species